ACCCGCUCCGCCUCCCUCUCUCCUCCAGACCCCUACUCUCUUAUCGUCUCCUUAUUAAGUCCUUCUCCUUCUCCUCCUCCUGACCCGAACCCCCUCUCCGCCUUCGCGGUCUCAUCAAGUCCACUUUCAUCGCCUCCGCCGCCGCCCAAUCCGACGAAUCCUUCGAGGCCACCCCCCAGCGCGUUCUCGAGGAGCGCCUGGCCUCUCACCCCAACCAAUUCCGUUCCCUCCACGCCCGCCCUCGUGGAGCUCAAUAUCAAGGCUGGGAGGCUCGUCGAGGCUAUCGACAUCGUCGGCCGGCUCAUCGCCCUCGAUGCGGCGAGAAGGAGCUCCCCCUACCGAAGUCCCACUUUCAGAGUUAAAAGACGCGACACGGGGACCGGGAAGCGAACGUUUGGACGAGGAGGGAGAGCUCGACGGCAUCUUAAAGAGGGUUGAGGAAGCAAUUGGGCUGUGCAAGAAGGCCAGGAGGAAGGAGGUUAUGAAGUGAAGGCUGUGCAAUUAGCCAUGUCAAGGAGGAGCCGAUGGAUUUCCGGCCUUAUCUCUGUUAGGGCAUCAUGUAAACUUUGUCGAGGAAGAAGGAUGAGGCGUAGUCGUUCCGAAGGGCCAACCUUAUGCACAGUAUUGCGACGAUAACAUGAUUGCAAUGAAGGCUUUUGGGCAGAUGGAUGAAUACAGAAGAAAGACUGCUCUUAAACAUUGGAAAGGUUUGUCGGUAAGAUAUUUAUAUCAAGGAAUUUAAAUUACAAAGUAAAAUGUCAGCCUUUGACAAAUGCAAAGCAUUCUAUCUAGUCCUACUAAUUCCUGUGUCGAUCAGCAAGCUUCAUUUUGAGAAUUCACCGGUAAAAUUGUGAGUUUUGUUGCAUUGGAUUGUCUGAAGAUGGGUCUAAAGUUGCUGCUUUAAUGCACAUGGUGUUGAAAGAUCUGCUCCAGUCUUUUCUUUUGGGGGGCAACUCAUGGAAAUGUCUCAAGGGAGAGCUGAUGCUUGUAGCUCACUCUUCAAUCUUUAAUUUCCACACUGCUCAUGAACUUUGCCGGAAAUUUCUGUAAGCAGUAUGCGGUCGCAAUUUUACCCAAAGGUGGCAAUCUUUGCACUUGAUGCUUAAAUUUUGAGUUUCUUGAAUUUGCGUAGAUUGAUCGUACUAAUCGUAUUGGAUUACCAUUGCAUUCGCCGACUCGGGAGCUGUUAAGACCCAACUGCUCUGGAAUAUCCUUGUGUUAUUAUUUCAAGAGACCUAAUUUUUCUUGUAUACUACAUGACAAUUAAUAAUCUUCAAAUCUCUGUACCACAAUUAAAUAAUACUUCAUGUAAUAAAUUCCUUGGUAUCAUGCUUGUAAAUUGUAAUUCUGGAAGCCGGAUCCUGCACUUAAUUCAUGGUGUCUAUAGCAUAAA